UUCCCAAAGUCUGAAUCAAGACCAGAAGAAAGACAGUAGAAGGAUAUGACUACAUAGGGAGCCUACUCAGUAUGGUGCCCAGAUGAGAAGAGAAUAUUGAUCACAAAUGAUCAAUAUUGCGAGUGGAAAACCCAGAAAGUAUCACAACUAUAUUCCACCUCGAUGAACUUGGGCAAGUUAGCAUGUUCUGGACCCCAAUUCCUCAAAUAUAAAUUAAGACUGAAAACACCUACCUUAUACAGCAAAGUCUAGCUUUGCAGAUUUCCAAGGAAGGAGGAUCCAUCUAACAGCGGCUGGGAUGCUGGGUUGCUUGUGAAAGAAGUUUUCUUGAAGACUGAGCAACAGGACGUAGGAGACACCAAAGAAGAGAGGUCUUUUUGACUGCUAGCCUGCCACCAUGGACAUGUGGGAUUAUUUUUUCCUGCCUUCUCUCCCUGGAAGAUAGGUUGCUGCUCCUCCACCUAGACUCAAAGUUAAACAGGAAGGCAGAAUCUGCUGCUGUAAGCAUCCCAGGAGGUACACGUGAGAUAGGUUGGCUGAAUGGAAGUCCCUGACCAGAGAGGUGGAAGAGCUGCUGCCUGCACUCUUUUCCAGGGGUAGCUGUCGCACUGCUUGGCGCUCAUGCGGGAACAGGAGGACUUGACUCCGGCGGCAUUCUGCAUCUCCGCCA